rnacentral:rRNA from 1 species
ACGGGUGAGUAACACGUAAGUAAUCUACCCUCGAGUGGGGAAUAACAACCGGAAACGGUUGCUAAUACCGCAUAAUGCAGCGGCACCGCAAGGUGACAGUUGUUAAAGAUUUAUCGCUUGAGGAGGAGCUUGCGGCAGAUUAGCUAGUUGGUAAGGUAAUGGCUUACCAAGGCUACGAUCUGUAACCGGUCUAAGAGGACGGUCGGUCACACUGACACUGAAUAACGGGUCAGACUCCUACGGGAGGCAGCAGUCGGGAAUUUUGGGCAAUGGGCGAAAGCCUGACCCAGCAACGCCGCGUGAAGGAUGAAGUAUUUCGGUAUGUAAACUUCGAAAGAAUAGGAAGAAUAAAUGACGGUACUAUUUAUAAGGUCCGGCUAACUACGUGCCAGCAGCCGCGGUAAUACGUAGGGACCAAGCGUUGUUCGGAUUUACUGGGCGUAAAGGGCGCGUAGGCGGUGUUGUAAGUCACUUGUGAAAUCUCUGAGCUUAACUCAGAACGGCCAAGUGAUACUGCAGCACUAGAGUGCAGAAGGGGCAAUCGGAAUUCUUGGU